rnacentral:rRNA from 1 species
CAGCGAUAAGGGGACCUCGAGUGCCAGGAUACAAUCUUGGCUGUCGCGAUGCCUAAAAAGCAUUGCAUAGCAAGGGCCGGGCAAGACCGGUGCCAGCCGCCGCGGUAACACCGGCGGCUCGAGUGGUAACCGCUAUUAUUGGGUCUAAAGGGUCUGUAGCCGGCCGGAUAAGUCUCUUGGGAAAUCCAGCUGCUCAACAGUUGGGCUUUCAGGAGAUACUGUUUCGGCUCGAGGCCGGGAGAGGUGAGAGGUACUUCAGGGGUAGGGGUGAAAUCUUGUAAUCCUUGAAGGACCACCAGUGGCGAAGGCGUCUCACCAGAACGGACCUGACGGCAAGGGACGAAAGCUAGGGGCACGAACCGGAUUAGAUACCCGGGUAGUCCUAGCCGUAAACGAUACUCGCUAGGUGUCGGCCACGGUGCGACCGUGGUCGGUGCCGUAGGGAAGCCGUGAAGCGAGCCACCUGGGAAGUACGGCCGCAAGGCUGAAACUUAAAGGAAUUGGCGGGGGAGCAC